rnacentral:rRNA from 1 species
AUUGAACGCUGGCGGCAUGCCUUACACAUGCAAGUCGAACGGCAGCACGGGAGCAAUCCUGGUGGCGAGUGGCGAACGGGUGAGUAAUAUAUCGGAACGUGCCCAGUCGUGGGGAUAACGUAGCGAAAGCUACGCUAAUACCGCAUACGUCCUGAGGGAGAAAGCGGGGGGACCGAAAGGCCUCGCGCGAUUGGAGCGGCCGAUGUCGGAUUAGCUAGUUGGUGAGGUAAAGGCUCACCAAGGCGACGAUCUGUAGCGGGUCUGAGAGGAUGAUCCGCCACACUGGAACUGAGACACGGUCCAGACUCCUACGGGAGGCAGCAGUGGGGAAUAUUGGACAAUGGGACGCAAGCCUGAUCCAGCCAUGCCGCGUGAGUGACGAAGGCC